rnacentral:rRNA from 1 species
GUGAGGUAAUGGCUCACCAAGGCGACGACGGGUAGCCGGCCUGAGAGGGUGACCGGCCACACUGGGACUGAGACACGGCCCAGACUCCUACGGGAGGCAGCAGUGGGGAAUAUUGCACAAUGAGCGCAAGCCUGAUGCAGCGACGCCGCGUGAGGGAUGACGGCCUUCGGGUUGUAAACCUCUUUCAGUAGGGAAGAAGCGAAAGUGACGGUACCUGCAGAAGAAGCGCCGGCUAACUACGUGCCAGCAGCCGCGGUAAUACGUAGGGCGCAAGCGUUAUCCGGAAUUAUUGGGCGUAAAGAGCUCGUAGGCGGUUUGUCGCGUCUGCCGUGAAAGUCCGGGGCUCAACUCCGGAUCUGCGGUGGGUACGGGCAGACUAGAGUGAUGUAGGGGAGACUGGAAUUCCUGGUGUAGCGGUGAAAUGCGCAGAUAUCAGGAGGAACACCGAUGGCGAAGGCAGGUCUCUGGGCAUUAACUGACGCUGAGGAGCGAAAGCAUGGGGAGCGAACAGGAUUAGAUACCCUGGUAGUCCAUGCCGUAAACGUUGGGCACUAGGUGUGGGGGACAUUCCACGUUUUCCGCGCCGUAGCUAACGCAUUAAGUG